UACGGGGGGGGCAAGCGUUGGUUCGGAAUUACUGGGCGUAAAGGGUCUCGGUAGGAUGGGCCAACUAAGUCAGACGUGAAAUCCCCAGGCUCAACUUGGGAACUGCGUCUGACUACUGGAUGGUACUUGAAUUCGGGAGAUGGGAUGCAGAAUUCCAGGUGUAGCGGUGAAAUGCGUAGAUAUCUGGAAGGAAUACCGGUGGCGAAGGCGGCAUCCUGGACCGACAUUGACGCUGAGGAGCGAAAGCUAGGGGAGCAAACGGG
rnacentral:rRNA from 1 species